rnacentral:lncRNA from 1 species
ACUCCAACGAAGGAAAAGGAAAGAAGAGGACAAAAGGGAAGCCCGCACCAUCAACAAAGCAGCUUCGUCUGGGAACGCAAAGCACCGUUGAGGCGGAGCUUGCAGCUCACAUUGAAGGAGUUGCCACAUCUAACUGCACAUGUUGCAGUGACGGCUGUGCAGUGCAUGGCCAACUAGAUGAAGCGAAAAAAGAAAAUGCUCUUCUGAGAGAGGAGCUACUGGCUCAGAAAUCGAGCUUCCUCAAAAAAAUAGAGGAGCUCGAGAAAAAGUUAAAUGACACCUUGCAUCUCAAUGUAGAGCUUCAGAAAGCAUUGACGUCGAAGAUUUUUACAAGUGAGAGCAAGAUCAGUUAUGCCCGGUGUUUGGACGUGGCAGUAGAUGCAGAAGCUCCUGCACAAUCACGGAGCUCUGGUGUUGAAGCAAAAGGCAAGCUACAUAUGUGGUUCAUUUUCCAAGUUUAGUUUUUGUUGUCUUCAUUUCACUAUACUAUCAUACCAAUUUUAUUUUUUACUUCACCAGAAAAAAACGAGGCACCUGCAUUUAAUCUAUACAGUUAAAUUUUGACCGUUAGAUAUAUUGGAAAAAGUGAUUCAUGUGUUCAGUCCUGGGAUUAAACAUUGCAAACAUUUCACAUAAAAUUAAAAUUGUGCAUUGCAGCUGUUCAUGUCUGGGAUAUAGCCACUUGAAAUACAUGUCAGACCAGUCAUCUUAGAGAAUUUAUAUGCGGU